AGCAAAAUGGCUGCUCAGAUGCAAGCUCUUAGUUCUUGGGCUAAUAACAUUAUGGAAUAAUACCCACCUUGAACUCUUACUGGUUUUAGACUGCUAGGCUGACACAGCAAGAGAGUUAGAAAAUCAGUGCUACAUCCAGUUUUAAAAGGCCAGCAGUCCCCUUGUGAUGAUUCCAAAGUAGACUUGAGAACCGGUGUAGGCUGCAGCUGAAUGAUAAGAUGCAAGGGGCAUGCACAAUAUCAUCAUAAAGAAGAGUCUUUGAUUAUGUCUUCCCAAAAUGGAG